AAAGGGAGACCUAAUUCAGGUAAAAGACGAAAAAAAAGUAGUCGCUACCAAGAAUCAAUCCCAAAAGGUCGGAGCGAGGCGAAAUUGGCUUUCAAACUAGGUUCUGGGUUCAAACAAGACCUGAAUCAGGAACAAGGGCUAUUAGCUCAGGUGGUUAGAGCGCACCCCUGAUAAGGGUGAGGUCCCUGGUUCGAGUCCAGGAUGGCCCACCUGCACAGGUGGCAAAAACAAGAGAAGCGAGGAAUCAGCACCUUAUCUUACUUAUAUAGUAAGAGAGAAUGCUGGCUCUGAGUAAAGAGUCCAGAGGAACCUUGAAAACUGCAUAGAGCUAGGUGAAAAAGCCAAAAAAGAAUACCGCAAG
rnacentral:tRNA from 1 species